rnacentral:rRNA from 1 species
CGGGGAGGUUUGGCACCUCGAUGUCGGCUCAUCGCAUCCUGGGGCUGUAGUCGGUCCCAAGGGUUGGGCUGUUCGCCCAUUAAAGCGGUACGCGAGCUGGGUUCAGAACGUCGUGAGACAGUUCGGUCCCUAUCCGUCGUGGGCGUAGGAAAUUUGAGAGGAGCUGUCCUUAGUACGAGAGGACCGGGAUGGACAUACCUCUGGUGUACCAGUUGUCGUGCCAACGGCAUAGCUGGGUAGCUAUGUGUGGACGGGAUAAGUGCUGAAAGCAUCUAAGCAUGAAGCCCCCCUCAAGAUGAGAUUUCCCAACUUCGGUUAUAAGAUCCCUCAAAGAUGAUGAGGUUAAUAGGUUCGAGGUGGAAGCAUGGUGACAUGUGGAGCUGACGAAUACUAAUCGAUCGAAGACUUAAU